AGCUCCAAUAGCGUAUAUUAAAGUUGUUGCGGUUAAAAAGCUCGUAGUUGGAUUUCUGUCGAGGAUGGUCGGUCCGCACUUUGUGCGUGCAUCUGAUUCAGCCUUGGCAUCCUCUUGGGGAACGUAUCUGCGCUUAAUUGCGUGGUGCGGAAUUCAAAGACUUUUACUUUGAGGAAAUUAGAGUGUUCACGGCAGGCAAUCGCCUUGAAUACAUUAGCAUGGAAUAAUAAUAUAGGACCUUGGUCCCAUUUUGUUGGUUUCUGGAACUAAGGUAAUGAUUAAUAGGGAUAAUUGGGGGCAUUCGUAUUAACGCGUCAGAGGUGGAAUUCUUGGAUUGCGUUACGACGAACUACUGCGAAAGCAUUUGCCAAGGAUGUUUUCA
rnacentral:rRNA from 1 species